rnacentral:rRNA from 1 species
AUGAACGCUGGCGGCGUGCCUAAUACAUGCAAGUCGAGCGAACAGACGAGGAGCUUGCUCCUCUGACGUUAGCGGCGGACGGGUGAGUAACACGUGGAUAACCUACCUAUAAGACUGGGAUAACUUCGGGAAACCGGAGCUAAUACCGGAUAAUAUAUUGAACCGCAUGGUUCAAUAGUGAAAGACGGUUUUGCUGUCACUUAUAGAUGGAUCCGCGCCGCAUUAGCUAGUUGGUAAGGUAACGGCUUACCAAGGCGACGAUGCGUAGCCGACCUGAGAGGGGGAUCGCCCACACUGGAACUGAGACACGGUCCAGACUCCUACGGGGGGCAACAGGAGGGAAUUUUCCGCAAGGGGGGAAAGCCUGACGGAGCAACGCCGGGGGGGUGAUGAAGGUCUUCGGAUCGUAAAACCCUUUUAUUAGGGAAAAAAAAAUGGGUAAGUAAAUAUGCACGUUUGGACGGUCCCUAAUAAGAAAACCACGGCUAACUACGU